ACGCUGGCGGCGUGCCUAAUACAUGCAAGUAGAACGCUGAAGCUUGGUGCUUGCACCGAGCGGAUGAGUUGCGAACGGGUGAGUAACGCGUAGGUAACCUGCCUCUUAGCGGGGGAUAACUAUUGGAAACGAUAGCUAAUACCGCAUAACAGUCGACAUUGCAUGAUGUUGAUUUGAAAGGUGCAAUUGCAUCACUAAGAGAUGGACCUGCGUUGUAUUAGCUAGUUGGUGAGGUAACGGCUCACCAAGGCGACGAUACAUAGCCGACCUGAGAGGGUGAUCGGCCACACUGGGACUGAGACACGGCCCAGACUCCUACGGGAGGCAGCAGUAGGGAAUCUUCGGCAAUGGGGGCAACCCUGACCGAGCAACGCCGCGUGAGUGAAGAAGGUUUUCGGAUCGUAAAGCUCUGUUGUAAGAGAAGAACGAGUGUGAGAGUGGAAAGUUCACACUGUGACGGUAACUUACCAGAAAGGGACGGCUAACUACGUGCCAGCAGCCGCGGUAAUACGUAGGUCCCGAGCGUUAUCCGGAUUUAUUGGGCGUAAAGCGAGCGCAGGCGGUUAGAUAAGUCUGAAGUUAAAGGCUGUGGCUUAACCAUAGUACGCUUUGGAAACUGUUUAACUUGAGUGCAGAAGGGGAGAGUGGAAUUCCAUGUGUAGCGGUGAAAUGCGUAGAUAUAUGGAGGAACACCGGUGGCGAAAGCGGCUCUCUGGUCUGUAACUGACGCUGAGGCUCGAAAGCGUGGGGAGCAAACAGGAUUAGAUACCCUGGUAGUCCACGCCGUAAACGAUGAGUGCUAGGUGUUGGGUCCUUUCCGGGACUCAGUGCCGCAGCUAACGCAUUAAGCACUCCGCCUGGGGAGUACGACCGCAAGGUUGAAACUCAAAGGAAUUGACGGGGGCCCGCAC
rnacentral:rRNA from 1 species